rnacentral:rRNA from 1 species
UACAGAGGGUGCGAGCGUUAAUCGGAAUUACUGGGCGUAAAGCGCGCGUAGGCGGCUUUGCAAGUCGGGUGUGAAAUCCCCAGGCUUAACCUGGGAACUGCAUUCGAGACUGCAUUGCUAGAGUAUGGGAGAGGGAAGUGGAAUUUCCGGUGUAGCGGUGAAAUGCGUAGAUAUUGGGAGGAACACCAGUGGCGAAGGCGGCUCACUGGACCGGAACUGACGCUGAGGAGCGAAAGCGUGGGGAGCGAACAGG